CACCACGACUCAAGGUCUUGUGGAUUGAAUGUGAUCUGAAUGUUUGUUUCAGAGUGACUGAAGGUUGUUUCUGAAUUGAGAUUCUGGUCAUGUGGACUGAAUGCGAUUUGAAUGACUGAAUGUGAUCUGAAUUUUUGUUUCAGAGUAACUGAAGAUUGUUACUGAAUUGAGAUAGCAGAUGUAGACUUGUUGUGUCAAUUUGAUCAUGUCAAGAUUCUAAUUGGCUCGAUUUACUGAUGUUAAUUUAAUAUAGCAAAAGAGAUUACGACUUGCAGUCUCUAAAAUAGUUCACCUUGCCUACAUCUCUUGUGGUUCUUUGCAGUAAUAUGUCUUGUGGUUAAACAAAAACAGAAUUCUCCAUGCUGAACCUUGAACACAGAAUUGCAGUAUCUAAAAUAGUACUUACAUCGUUUUACUCCAUGCGCUUGCUUGCUUCUGAUAAUUCCUUCAGUAUAUAUUUGUCCAUCAUCUAGUAGUAGA
rnacentral:lncRNA from 1 species